GAUGAACGCUAGCUACAGGCUUAACACAUGCAAGUCGAGGGACCGGCGCACGGGUGAGUAACACGUAUCCCACCUGCCCUUUACUCGGGGAUAGCCUUUCGAAAGAAAGAUUAAUACCCGAUAUAAAGGAUGGGGAUGGGUUCCAUUAGGUGGUUGGUGAGGGAACGGCUCACCAAGCCUUCGAUGGAUGGGGGUUCUGAGAGGAAGGGCCCCCACAUUGGAGAUGAGACACCGUCCAAAAUCGUACGGGAGGCAGCAGGGAGGAAUAUUGGUGAAUGGGCGCUAGCCUGAACCAGCCAAGUAGCGGGAAGGAUGAAGGCUUAUGGGUCUUAAACUUCUGUUAUAUAAGAAUAUGUAUUAUAUGAAGAAGGAUCGGCUAACUCCGUGCCAGCAGCCGCGGUAAUAC
rnacentral:rRNA from 1 species